UGUGUUGUGGUGUGGUGGCCUUACAGAGGGUUAGAUGGUGCAGUCUGUACUGUGUUGUGGUGGCCUUACAGAGGGUUAGAUGCUGCAGUCUGUACUGUGUUGUGGUGUGGUGGCCUUACAGAGGGUUAGAUGGUGCAGUCUGUACUGUGUUGUGUUGUGGUGGCCUUACAGAGGGUUAGAUGCUGCAGUCUGUACUGUGUUGUGGUGGCCUUACAGAGGGUUAGAUGCUGCAGUCUGUACUGUGUUGUGGUGUGGUGGCCUUACAGAGGGUUAGAUGCUGCAGUCUGUACUGUGUUGUGGUGUGGUGGCCUUACAGAGGGUUAGAUGCUGCAGUCUGUACUGUGUUGUGGUGUGGUGGCCUUACAGAGGGUUAGAUGGUGCAGUCUGUACUGUGUUGUGGUGUGGUGGCCUUACAGAGGGUUAGAUGGUGUUGUCUGGGGUUGGUAGAUAAGGUGACAUUAGCUUGGAGUCUGUGGACUGUAGUGUUAUUGUUCUAAGAUUGUAGAGUGGUGUGGAUGGAUGGAUGGAUGGAUGGAUGGAUGGAUAGGUGGUGGGAGUAGAUUAUGAGAAGGAUUCCACAGGUUGUUCUGGUAGAUAAGAUGUAUCAGUCACUGUCUGACAGUGUAUAGGAUGUUUGCUGUAGUGUUGUUAGUGGAGGUUAGGACUAGUAACAGGGAUGUGGAGGUUAGGACUAGUAACAGGGAUGUGGAGGUUAGGACUAGUAACAGGGAUGUGGAGGUUAGGACUAGUAACAGGGAUGUGGAGGUUAGGACUAGUAACAGGGAUGUGGAGGUUAGGACUAGUAACAGGGAUGUGGAGGUUAGGACUAGUAACAGGGAUGUGGAGGUUAGGACUAGUAACAGGGAUGUGGAGGUUAGGACUAGUAACAGGGAUGUUGUGGUGUUGGUGUAGGUUAGGACUAGUAACAGGGAUUUUGUGGAGGUUAGGACUAGUAACAUGGAUGUUGUGGAGGUUAGGACUAGUAACAUGGAUGUUGUGGAGGUUAGGACUAGUAACAUGGAUGUUGUGGAGGUUAGGACUAGUAACAGGGAUGUUGUGGAGGUUAGGACUAGUAACAGAGAUGUUGUAGUGUUAGUGGAGGUUUGGACUAGUAACAGGGAUGUUGUGGAGGUUAGGACUAGUAACAGGGAUGUUGUGGAGGUUAGGACUAGUAACAGGGAUGUUGUGGAGGUUAGGACUAGUAACAGGGAUGUUGUGGAGGUUAGGACUAGUAACAGGGAUGUUGUGGAGGUUAGGACUAGUAACAGGGAUGUUGUAGUGUUUGUGGAGGUUAGGACUAGUAACAGGGUUAAUGAGCCAUGGUGGUGUUGAUGUUGUCUCUAUGGAAGUGCUGCCCUGGAAGUGCAAGGUAGUCAUCCAGUGUUGUAGACCCAGCCGUGCAUUUCUCUCUCUGUCUGUGUCUCUCUCUCGUUCUUUGUCGCUCUCUCUCGCUCGCUCAAUCACUACUCCUCCUCUCUCUCUCCCCUUCAUCUCUCUCUUCAUCUGUCUCUCGGUCUUUCCCUCCAUCUCUCUCUCUGUGUUAGUGAUUACAUCACUCACUCACUCUCUCUCUCUCUCUCUCUCUCUCUGUCUCUCUCUCUCUCUCUCACCCUCUCUGUCUCUCUCUCUCUUGCAUAACCGCCAGCUUUGUUUGCUCCAGCUGAGGACUAAUCUUUCCCGCGAGACAGACUGAAGGAACAAGGGAGAGGAGGAGAGCAGGACAAGCCAACCUUUAUAACCUGACUGGACGCUCUGCCUCGUUAAUUCAAUCAGUCCACCAAUUAAUGGGCUUUAGAGCAGAGCCCUGUUUACAACCACCGUGACCUGUGUGUUUAUGGAGCGGUGUUUUUAAUCUGUGUGUGUGUGUGUGUGUGUGUGUGUGUGUGUGUGUG
rnacentral:lncRNA from 1 species